rnacentral:rRNA from 1 species
UGGGGAAUAUUGCACAAUGGGCGCAAGCCUGAUGCAGCGACGCCGCGUGGGGGAAGAAGGCCUUCGGGUUGUAAACCCCUUUCAGGAGGGACGAAGGUUGGGCGGUUAAUAGCCGACCUGACUGACGGUACCUCCAGAAGAAGCCCCGGCUAACUACGUGCCAGCAGCCGCGGUAAUACGAAGGUCCCAAGCGUUGUUCGGAAUCACUGGGCGUAAAGGGUGCGUAGGCGGUUUGGUAAGUCAGAUGUGAAAUCCCGGGGCUCAACCCCGGAACUGCAUCCGAUACUGCCGGACUUGAGGACUGGAGAGGUGACUGGAAUUCUCGGUGUAGCAGUGAAAUGCGUGGAUAUCGAGAGGAACACUCGUGGCGUAAGCGAGUCACUGGACAGUAUCUGACGCUGAGGCACGAAGGCCAGGGUAGCGAA